AUUGGCCUCUUGCUGAACAAUGCUGCUGUGGGAAGCGCUAUCGCUGUUGAAUUAACAGCCCUCAAGAAUCAGCGAGGUGAUAGCGGCUCUGGUACUUCUCGUAUCUUGAUGGCACCCGUUAGACAUACACUAACGGAUGUUGUUCAGUCUAAUCGUAGACCGGUUGUCAUUGGAGGCUCUGUGCUGGAUAUUCACGUGAAGGCCUUGGAAGACAUUCAAGUAAGAAAUUUCUUAGGAUUUUCAGCAUUGUAUGAGAGUGAACACGCUGAAAUUUGGUACAUCUAGGUAUCCACAGAUAAAGUAAUUCAAUGCGGAAAAAUUAUUUGUAAAUGUUUCGUAGCAGUUGUUCACCUUUUAAAUAAAUUAUUUAGAUUACUGGAGCACA